ACACGAAAGGGAAUCUCGUCCUGCCAUAUCCUGAACGGUGAACCCCGUGGAAGAAGCCCCAGCCACGGAACAGCUUUGCCUCUCCGCCCCCUCCUUUCUCCCCUAGGCCGACAGCGGCGCUCGUGUUCCUCUGCUCACCGUCGGUACAUUCGACGGGAUUUGCCCUUUCUCUUUCCCCUCACCCCAAACUCGGCGGCGGCACAUCUCCUCUCCGGCGCCAUGUCUGCCGGUGGACGGGUGGGUUGAUUCGAUGCAUCCCCUGGUUGUGGUGCCUCCAGUGGAGUCGCGGGCUUCAGUGAGUGUCGCGGAUGGCCACAUUUGUCGCGCUGCCGAUCCAGCAGUGCCCAACUCCGGUGAUUUCCAGUUGGACGGAAACAGGGGAUUUGAGGUGUGCUCUAAAGCUACGAGAAGAUGGACGAGAAGGCUAACAUACCCAUCAAAAGACAUGCAUGCAAGCUGUGUUUGAACAAUAUGGUGAGGCCUUGUACAAUUGUGGGGCGUAUGUGCUAGAUGAGAUAGAACCUUGAAGGAUGUACAUGGCGACACAUGUUGAUGCAUCAGCUAGAGAGAAGUAGAUCAAGGUUGAAUUCAAGAUAGAGGUGAAUGAUGUUGAAAGUUUCUUCAGUUGUGAGUGUGGAAACUUUGAACAAUCCGGCAUGAUCUAUUGUCAUGCACUCCAAGUAAGUGAUACAGUUCAAAAUCAUUCACUGCCGUGUCGCUGUUUCUUCGCUAUGCUUAUGCUAGAGGUAGUUACAGGUGAUGAUACAUCUUCGUCUGUCGAAACCUGAGAAGAACUUCCUGAAGCAUGAGGCCCGUGAUAGGUAGCGUCCUCGAGCACUGUCAGAAUGCUUGUGGUAAGUUGAGUGUACGAUUUGAUCCUACCUCCCUAUUGUUUAGAGCUGAGGUGCCCUUGGUUACAAAACUCGUGCAACCCAAUGUAUUCAUGAUACGCUUGCGUGAUCGUUGAACCAUGUUGUGUUACUUGGUACGGUGGGACUUUGAUGAAUCUCAUUAUUUCUGUGACAUGAUGAUUGACUGGUCUAUUCCAGCUUAGUACUUUGUUUGUCAAGGAGUGCGAAUUUUUGGACAAAUGAAUAAAAUUCAGUACAUGUUGGGUUCAUGAUCAGACGCAUUGGAUCGAAUACAGAAAGUGCUACUAAGAAAUGAGCUGAACUUUGGAUGACCAAUUCGUACCUAAAGGAACAAAUGGCAGCCAACUGUAUGGAUGGUUGGGUUCCUCUUUGCCAAGUACUUAUCUGCUAACUGCCAUCAAUUUAUACAUGUGACAGCAAUGAGCAUGGACCUGAUGCUGACACAUGUUACUGAAUUUAGGAUAAUUUAGAGUUCAGCUAUAACUAUGUCUCACUGAAUUUAGGAUAAUUUAGAGUUCAGACCAAACACAUACAUAAAAUUUUCAAAUCAGAUUUCAGAAAUAAUCCGGGACAGGAUAUUUCAUUUGAUUUAGGGUUCACAUUGUUUAUCUUUGUUCUGCUGGUUUACCAGACUAUAACUCAUGUGCACUGGAUGAACAUACAACAGACUUUAGGGUUCAGGCAUUUUAUAUUGGUUUAUUUAUAUAAUCAAACCCAAAUGUUGUGGCAUGAAUCCAAAAGUAAACAUCUUGAUUGAUGGUUGUGAAAACCCUCUAAGCAUUUUGGUUAAUCGGCCAGUAAUUAAGCAAAUUUGACCACGGCUGUCCCACAUUGAUCCACGUACGCUCAAACCUACUAGUGGACACAAGCGGCGCUGCAAAGAUUCCUUCGUCCGUGCCCCUUUCACUGGUACAAGUUUGCACACAUGAACAUGUAACAGAAUAUUAACCAGGCCUAGAUUCUCUAGCACGUGCCAGGGCUGGCUUUUGCUGGAUACACGGCUUUAUGUAGCAAUACAGUGCAAAGAAAAAAGGGAAUACAGUUGUGGCGCGGAUCCAAUUGGUGUCAGGACGGCCAGGAUUGCGGCCUGCCUGUAGCCCAGCCUCCAUUGGCAUUUUCCGGACAAUCCCCUUUUUUUUAACAAGUCCAAAGUAAUGCAUGGCACACCACGCCAGUAGCUUUGAUCUUCUGCUAUUUAUCUUCUGUUGUUUUCCCUUAUGAGAUGUGAUGUUUGUCCCUCCUGAUACAACCAACGGCCACCGCCCUCCUUUCCCUUCUUUUUUUUAUAGCUUUGGACUGAUCUGCUUGGAGUUGGCGGUGAGGAUUCGGCCAGCAACUUGGAAGCAGUUACAGUAGAGAAGCGCUGGUGAUUCAGUGAAACGGCGACUGAACUUGGUGCGAGGCCGGCAAGACGACAACGGUGGUCAGCGGCUCGACGCUUAAACAAUCGAGGAAGCGAGUUGAAACAAAUACGACCGUGGCAACGGCAGGCGGUAGGCCGGGUUGAAGAUGAAGGCAAUACGGAAGCAGAGGCAAACUGUGGCGGCGUCCCACAGGCAUGGCCACGGCGGAGGCGACUCAAGGCACAACCAUGGUGAAGGUGAUACGUGACCUGAGAGUGACACCACUGCUGACCGGUAAAGCUCAUAUUUCUGCAAGUAUAUACAUGCACGCAUGCUGAAGCAGUAUCGCUCGUGUAUGUUGGUUCGAGGCGAAGUAGACCACGACGUAGGUGGAAUAAGGCCACGGUGACAGUUUUGACGGCCGCAGGGGCGGAGGUGCCUUGGAAGCAGCCGGCGGUCUGAGUGAGGGCCGCGACUCGGACAGUGGCAGCUGAGGCAAACCGCCCCGAGGAACGGUUGAGGCGGGGGUGUGAUCCAGCAAGGUGAGCAGGGCCUGCUCGCGAGGCACAGCGGCUUAAGGGUAGUGCAAGGGCGGCUCGACGCCCGACGGCGGAGUGACGCUGACGGCGGAGGCGAGCCAGUGUAGAAAUCUUCAACCCUCCACCCUCGGUCACGAGGCAAAUCAAAGCAUCAAGCGGAUCAGUGGCUCGGUCGCGGAGGCAGCGGCCUGCGGCAGACCGGCGAGGCGGCUCAUGCUAUGGCGGAGAGGGCGGCUCGGAGUCGGGACGGUUGAGGCCUGGCACGGCUGCGGAGGCCGGGGCGGUUUAGGCCUCAAAAUUUUUCCCAACUGCGAGGCGGCUUCAGAGAUGACAACUUUGAUCGGAGCAGCAUGUCCAACGACUAAGAGGCGGGGUCAACUCCAAGCCCGACUUGAAGAAGCGCCCGUGGAGGCGGGGCGCGCGGCCGAGCCGCGAUGCGGCGGCUCAAGGCGUGGCGGCGGUUCAGACGCGGCGGAUCAGGCCGGCGUAGUACGAGGUCACGACGGCCAGGCAAACCGAGGAGUCCUCCCGAGCGACAGAGUAGUACUUUCUUCUUUUCUUAGUUCCUUCGAUCUUCACGUGAAUUAAAGGCAGCCGAUUGCUGUUUUACCUCAGGAUUUCAAGCGACCAGUAGUAGAAAACGCGGCGGAUCGGACCAUGACAGCCGCAGCUUUUGGGUCUUGAUCUUGUAUGUAGUAGCCGCGCAAAUCGCAACUUGCAGCCUGUAUGCAGCAACAACGACUCGGCGGAUCGGACAAAAAAGGUUGUACCUUGGACAUGAAUGCCGGAGACGGAACACCUGUCAGUUUCGACUUGGUAAGCGGUGCCGCAGCGGAAACACAAUCCCGAUCUGAUUCGUCGGAACGCCAGACGCGC